rnacentral:rRNA from 1 species
AGCUCCAAUAGCGUAUAUUAAAGUUGUUGCAGUUAAAAAGCUCGUAGUUGGAUUUCUGGUGUGAGGGAACGGUCCGACCUCUGGUGGGUACUUGCUUCCUCUCACGCCAUCCUUGAGUGGUGCGUUCUGGCAUUCAGUUGUCGGGACGUUAGCCGCUCAUCGUUUACUGUGAGAAAAUUAGAGUGUUCAAAGCAGGCUUAUGCCGUUGAAUAUAUUAGCAUGGAAUAAUAAGAUAGGACUUCGGUACUAUUUUGUUGGUUUGCGUACCGAUGUAAUGAUCAAUAGGGACAGUUGGGGGUAUUCGUAUUCAGUUGUCAGAGGUGAAAUUCUUGGAUUUCUGAAAGACGAACUACUGCGAAAGCAUUUACCAAGGAUGUUUUCA